UACGUAGGGUGCGAGCGUUAAUCGGAAUUACUGGGCGUAAAGCGUGCGCAGGCGGUUUGUUAAGACAGAUGUGAAAUCCCCGGGCUUAACCUGGGAACUGCAUUUGUGACUGGCAAGCUAGAGUAUGGCAGAGGGGGGGUAGAAUUCCACGUGUAGCAGUGAAAUGCGUAGAGAUGUGGAGGAAUACCGAUGGCGAAGGCAGCCCCCCUGGGCCAAUACUGACGCUCAUGCACGAAAGCGUGGGGGAGCAAACAGG
rnacentral:rRNA from 1 species